GAGUUUGAUCAUGGCUCAGGAUGAACGCUAGCGGCAGGCUUAACACAUGCAAGUCGAGGGGUAACAGGUUUUAGUUUACUAGAGUGCUGACGACCGGCGCACGGGUGAGUAACGCGUAUACAAUUUACCUUUAACAGGGGGAUAGCCUUUAGAAAUGAAGAUUAACACUCCAUAAUAUAGAGAAGUGGCAUCACUUUUUUAUUAAACAUUUAUGGGUACAAGAUGACUAUGCGUCCUAUUAGCUAGAUGGUAAGGUAACGGCUUACCAUGGCGACGAUAGGUAGGGGGUCUGAGAGGAUUAUCCCCCACACUGGUACUGAGACACGGACCAGACUCCUACGGGAGGCAGCAGUGAGGAAUAUUGGUCAAUGGAGGCAACUCUGAACCAGCUAUGCCGCGUGCAGGAUGACUGCCCUAUGGGUUGUAAACUGCUUUUAUACAGGAAGAAACACUCCCUCGUGAGGGAGCUUGACGGUACUGUAAGAAUAAGGACCGGCUAACUCCGUGCCAGCAGCCGCGGUAAUACGGAGGGUCCAAGCGUUAUCCGGAAUCAUUGGGUUUAAAGGGUCCGCAGGCGGUCAAUUAAGUCAGAGGUGAAAGCCCAUCGCUCAACGAUGGAACUGCCUUUGAUACUGGUUGACUUGAGUUAUACGGAAGUAGAUAGAAUAAGUAGUGUAGCGGUGAAAUGCAUAGAUAUUACUUAGAAUACCGAUUGCGAAGGCAGUCUACUACGUAUAUACUGACGCUGAGGGACGAAAGCGUGGGGAGCGAACAGGAUUAGAUACCCUGGGUAGUCCACGCCGUAAACGAUGGAUACUAGUUGCUGGGUUUUCGACUCAGCGACUAAGCGAAAGUGAUAAGUAUCCCACCUGGGGAGUACGGUCGCAAGACUGAAACUCAAGGGAAUUGACCGGGG
rnacentral:rRNA from 1 species